GUCCUGCUGCCGUUACCGCCGCCGCUGCUGCCGCCGCUUGCGCCCCCCCCCCCCCGCUCCGGUCUGUGGUGCAGCCGGGACCCAGGACCAUGUCGCUGUCUCGCUCAGAGGAGAUGCACCGGCUCACGGAAAAUGUCUAUAAGACCAUCAUGGAGCAGUUCAACCCUAGCCUCCGGAACUUCAUCGCCAUGGGGAAGAAUUACGAGAAGGCACUGGCAGGUGUGACGUAUGCAGCCAAAGGCUACUUUGACGCCCUGGUGAAGAUGGGAGAGCUGGCCAGCGAGAGCCAGGGCUCCAAAGAACUCGGAGACGUUCUCUUCCAGAUGGCUGAAGUCCACAGGCAGAUCCAGAAUCAGCUGGAAGAAAUGCUGAAGUCUUUUCACAACGAGCUGCUCACACAGCUGGAGCAGAAGGUGGAGCUGGACUCCAGGUAUCUGAGUGCUGCGCUGAAGAAAUACCAGACUGAGCAAAGGAGCAAAGGCGACGCCCUGGACAAGUGUCAGGCUGAGCUGAAGAAGCUUCGGAAGAAGAGCCAGGGCAGCAAGAAUCCUCAGAAGUACUCGGACAAGGAGCUGCAGGGCUGGCCACUCGAGGGAAGGUGGUACUUCAGGUUCCUCGAGGGAGCGGCUUCAGUGUUGUUUCUCUCACCGUCCCGCCGGCGUCACCG
rnacentral:sRNA from 1 species